rnacentral:rRNA from 1 species
CCUACGGGUGGCAGCAGUGAGGAAUAUUGGUCAAUGGGCGGGAGCCUGAACCAGCCAAGCCGCGUGAAGGAAGAAGGCGCCAAGCGUCGUAAACUUCUUUUGUCGGGGAACAAAGGUCUCCACGUGUGGCGUUGUGAGUGUACCCGAAGAAAGAGCAUCGGCUAACUCCGUGCCAGCAGCCGCGGUAAUACGGAGGAUGCGAGCGUUAUCCGGAUUCAUUGGGUUUAAGGGGUGCGUAGGCGGUCCGGAAAGUCAGCGGUAAAAGCCCGGGGCAAAACACCGACGAGCCGUUGAAACUGUCGGACUAGAGACGGCGAGAGGUACGCGGAAUGCGCGGUGUAGCGGUGAAAUGCAUAGAUAUCGCGCAGAACUCCGAUUGCGAAGGCAGCGUACCGGCGCCGGACUGACGCUGAGGCACGAAAGCGUGGGUAUCGAACAGGAUUAGAUACCCCUGUAGUC